CGUGUAGGCGGUUUGGCAAGUCAGAGGUGAAAUGCUCCGGCUCAACCGGGGACCUGCCUUUGAAACUGCCGAACUUGAGGCCGUGAGGGGAGACUGGAAUUCCUAGUGUAGCGGUGAAAUGCAUAGAUAUUAGGAAGAACACCAGUGGCGAAGGCGAGUCUCUGGCACGGUUCUGACGCUGAGGCGCGAAAGCUAGGGGAGCGAACG
rnacentral:rRNA from 1 species